GGGACAUAUACACCAUGGAAUACUAUGCAGCCAUAAAAAGGGGCUAAGGAAUUGGGUUACUUUGUGCCCCGCCUCUGCCCGCAGGGAAGACCAUUCCUGGAUUUACCCUUCGAGGGAGCAGUAGAAGCGGAUCUGGCAUGAAGUGGGGGACACAACUCCCCUUAUGCUCCCAGCACAUCUCCUGGGCUGAGGCCAUCUCAGAUUGGAAGACCAGCUUUCCAAAGCAAGUCUCCUCCACAUCAUGAAGGAGAAAAAGGUGAAACAUUUGAUGUCCUGAUGGUAAUAGGAUCACAGGCUCUAAAACAUGAGGGAGGUGGGGCUGGACAAAGUCUUUAGGAGACUGCUGAAUUGUUGACUUUAUUCCAAGUCAGGAUCCCGAGUAAUCACUGAGCCUCAGUAUAAUUAUAUGCACAUGAGAAGCUAUUUA